GAUGAACGCUGGCGGCGUGCCUAAUACAUGCAAGUCGAGCGAACGGACGAGAAGCUUGCUUCUCUGAUGUUAGCGGCGGACGGGUGAGUAACACGUGGAUAACCUACCUAUAAGACUGGGAUAACUUCGGGAAACCGGAGCUAAUACCGGAUGAUAUUUUGAACCGCAUGGUUCAAAAGUGAAAGACGGUCUUGCUGUCACUUAUAGAUGGAUCCGCGCUGCAUUAGCUAGUUGGUAAGGUAACGGCUUACCAAGGCAACGAUGCAUAGCCGACCUGAGAGGGUGAUCGGCCACACUGGAACUGAGACACGGUCCAGACACCUACGGGAGGCAGCAGUAGGGAAUCUUCCGCAAUGGGCGAAAGCCUGACGGAGCAACGCCGCGUGAGUGAUGAAGGUCUUCGGAUCGUAAAACUCUGUUAUUAGGGAAGAACAUAUGUGUAAGUAACUGUGCACAUCUUGACGGUACCUAAUCAGAAAGCCACGGCUAACUACGU
rnacentral:rRNA from 1 species